rnacentral:snRNA from 1 species
GGGUGUGAGGGCGAUCUGGCUGCGACAUCUGCCACCCCACUGAUCGCCAGGGUUGCUUCGGCUGAUCUGGCUGGCUAGGCGGGUGUCCCCUUCCUCCCUCACCGCUCCAUGUGCGUCCCUCCCCAAACAGAGACGGACCAGACCAGUCUUCCGUCGAGGGUAUAUACAAGUAGCUGGGCUCCCCUGCUAGAACCUCCAAACAAGCUCUCAGGGUCCUAUGUUGCUAUUAAAUCUCCCUGCCCCCAUUACAGGAAGUGUGACACCUCUCU